GCUUGGGUAGCUCAGUUGGUAGAGCGCGUCCCUGAAGAGGAUGAGGUCCCCGGUUCGAUCCCGGGCCCAAGCACCA
rnacentral:tRNA from 1 species